GACGAACGCUGGCGGCGUGCCUAAUACAUGCAAGUUGAGCGCUGAAGGUUGGUACUUGUACCGACUGGAUGAGCAGCGAACGGGUGAGUAACGCGUGGGGAAUCUGCCUUUGAGCGGGGGACAACAUUUGGAAACGAAUGCUAAUACCGCAUAAAAACUUUAAACACAAGUUUUAAGUUUGAAAGAUGCAAUUGCAUCACUCAAAGAUGAUCCCGCGUUGUAUUAGCUAGUUGGUGAGGUAAAGGCUCACCAAGGCGAUGAUACAUAGCCGACCUGAGAGGGUGAUCGGCCACAUUGGGACUGAGACACGGCCCAAACUCCUACGGGAGGCAGCAGUAGGGAAUCUUCGGCAAUGGACGAAAGUCUGACCGAGCAACGCCGCGUGAGUGAAGAAGGUUUUCGGAUCGUAAAACUCUGUUGGUAGAGAAGAACGUUGGUGAGAGUGCAAAGCUCAUCAAGUGACGGUAACUACCCAGAAAGGGACGGCUAACUACGUG
rnacentral:rRNA from 1 species